UCGGUGAGGCGCGAGUCCCCCCUCCGCACCCCUCCACCCCCCGCCGUCUGCCGGUCCCUGCGCCCAGUCAGCACUAGGGGGUAGCAAAGUAUCGGCGUGACGAGAAAGCUGCGGGGUUUUCCUCACAAAACAGUAAAAUGUUUCUGCUUGAGAGGUGCCGGGAGACCUGCGGGCUCCUGGGGGGCACAAGGGGGAGCGCUGGAAGGGACCGGGGCAGUGACCGUCCCUGUGCUGGGCACCGGGGAGGCCAAACCGCGGAUCCUGGGGGCAGUUCUGGGCCCCUCACACCAAGAAAGGCCUUGAGGUGCUGGAGCGAGUGGAGAGAAGGGAACGGAGCUGCUUGAGAUCCUUCCAUGAAUCUCCAGUGACUUCUAGAGCUCACAGGUGCUUCAACAUCUACUUCUCCAGGCUGGGAGUUCCACGACUGAAUUAACUUCCCAUGUGGGGAACUGCUUUUGUUCGUUGCUGUUAGAGCCUCGCUGGCGCCACCAGCUCCUGCCUCUCCUUGCUGGUGGCAUCCUGGACAACUGCUGGAUUCUGGUGGGUCUCUUUGUGAGUAACGUGAAUCUGGCAGUGAGGAGAGGGGAGAGGCCGCCAGGAUGAGAAAACAGCAUUGUGGAGGAGGAGGGAACAGGCAGCAAAGAAAAACAGGCCUCCAAAAAGAAAAAGAAAACAAGUAACAGGAAAAAAAUGACAAGAGAUGCUGAGAGAUGUUGAAAAUAUGGUUUAGAUCAUUAGCUCCUGUUACUACCUCUCUCCUCCCUUCAGGGUUUUUUGAAGAGCUGAAUUCAGUUUCCAUCCCACAGGGUGAAAGAUACUCCAGAUCCUCUGUUAGUCUGUGUCAGAUCCUUGGUUAGAUGGAGCAGUGUGCCAGGGCUGGGGCUCAAACAGUGGAGGUGCUGGACAAAAGAGAAAUAAUGUCAGAAUCAGAGUAAUUUAGUCAGAGAAUUCAGAUUCUAAGCAUAUUUAGGCAGUCGGCCAAUCUGUGGGAUUUCGGUGGCAUUUAAUACCUCAAAUACCUUUACAAAUCUGGAUUGAAUUGAAAGACGGUUUGCAUUCAUCAUCUCAUUACAGACAAAAUAGUUGUCAAUCAAAACAUCUUUACUUUUCCUGCCCACCUUUCUGGCAAUCUGCAAACAUUCCCUGGCAAAGCUCAGCUGCAGGAAUAUCUACAGUUGGCGAGUUUACCUUGGGAAAAUCCUGGCAGAGAUCACAAAGGUCCGGGAGUGGCCACUGAAGGAAUUUAGAUAGGAUUUGUCUCUCUCUGAUAUAAAAAAUACAUAGUUCUGCCUUGCAAAUAAUGAAUAAUGACCAUGUGAUCACUUCCCUACAGAAGCUCCACUUCUUCCAUCCUCCUCAUCCUCUUUGAUAACACUAAACUGCACCCCAGCAGCCGUUGCCGAUUGUUUUGCAGAAAUUAAGAGACUGAAGAACCACUUUUUCCCUGUUCCCAGCGCCUCCCGGGUGGCAGCAUCAGAGUUAAUUGCCACAUUCCUGGGAGGUCACAGCGCUGCUGCCAGACCCGUGGGAUUCCCUUGAUCGACUGGGACAACCAAGAACUCAACCAAGGCCCCGAGUCUCUGCUUAACUCUUCAGUCCAGCCUGAAACCUUCCUAAGGCUCUGCCCAGGCAGUGUGACUUCAGGGUGAGAGCUUUAGUUCGUAGAAAACUUGUGUUUCUUUAGAAAUACGUGCGUCUGUAACUCUAGCCUCGAUGCUUUCCUCUCUUGGCUUUUACGACCAGGAUGCAUUUAUGUCCUGUUUCCUACAUGAAGCUUUCCUUGGGCCUCAUCUUACUCGUUCCAGUGCUUUCCCCUACAUAUCAUCCUUCGCCUGUGUUUGGGUUCUUUCUUUCUUCUCCCACAGAAGGAUUUGCGAUCGCUCAUUUGCACCGUGCAUCCUCCUCAUGGGUGGUUAGCCUAUGGACCUGCAAAAACGCUUACGCCAGGGAGAUCCAAAGGGAUGCUGGAGGUUUCCACGUGCUCUGUUAGCUCCUUCCUAGCUGGGAUCAUCAAUAAUUACCAGAUGGUUGCUGCCCUGUAGGAGCUCCCCUCACUCCACCUCUGUGAUCUCUUUGAAAAAGCCAAUAUUAUCACAUCAGAAGCCUCUUUUCCUUUGUUCACUCCAGGUUCUUUAUCCACCACUGUUCUUGUGCUAUUAAAAAUCAUUGGGGUCACAGACUACAACCCUUAUGUUGAUAACCCACUUGUGAACUAAUAGGACUUUCACCAAAAUCUGCUAAAAUGUUGGGUGCUUCUGAAACAUAGCCAAUACUUUUCCAGCUGGCUGCAGACAUGGAGGUGCUGGGUGUAUCAAGAGGUGAGGUCUUCAAAAACAGCUGCCCAAGCCAAUCCUAGACUGAAAUGGCAUGAAAUUGGGUUUGAUUGUGUCACUCACAGAAUCACAGAAUGUCCUGAGCUGGAAGGAACCCACAAAGGUCAUGGAGUCCAACUGCUGUCCCUGCACAGGACACCCCACAGGUCACCCCGUGUGUCUGAGGACGGUGUCCAGUCUCUUGUUGAACACUGUCAGGUUGGGGCUGUGACACCUCCCUGGGGAGCCUGUUCAGUGUCCAGCACCUCUGGGGGAAGAACCUUUUCCUCAGGUCCCACUGACCCUCCCUGGCACAUCUUCUGCCGUUCCCUGGGCUCUGUCAUUUAGAAGGCAGUUGCUUCCUCAUCUCCCUAGAGCUGAUUGCUUUCUUUUGUAAUUUGCUGAAUGUUCUGCUUCAAGCCCAACCGUCUCAGGUCAUCCUGGCAUCAAUCCAGGACCUGGCAGAGUCCCUGUGGACUUUGGAUUGAGCCCAUUGUCACUUCUGAUCUAAGUACCAGCAUUGGUAUGGCCAGCAGGCCCAGGGCAGUGACCGUCCCUGUGCUGGGCACUGGGGAGGCCAAACCGCAAAUCCUGGGGCAGUUCUGGGCCCCUCACACCAAGAAAGACCUUGAGGUGCUGGAGCGAGUGGAGAGAAGGGAACGGAGCUGGUGAGGGGCUGGAGCACAAGUGUGAUGGAGCGGCUGAGGGACCUGGGGGGUUCAGCUGGAGAACAGGAGCUGAGGGGAGACCUUCUGAUCUCUGAACUGCCUGAAAGGAGCUUGGAGCCAGGGGGGUCGGGCUCUGCUCCCCAGGAACAAGCGCCAGGAGCAGAGGAAACGGCCUCAAGUUGCGCCAGGGGAGGUUGAGGUUGGAUGUGGGAACAAUUUCUUCCCCAAAGGGCUGUGGGGCAUUGGAACAGGCUGCCCAGGGCAGUGCUGGAGUCACCAGCCCUGGAGGGCUGGACAGACGGACAUGAGGUUCUCAGGACAUGGGGCAGUGCUGGGGUGGGGUAUCAGUUGGACUCAAUGAUCUUAAAGGUCUUUUCCAAGCAGAACCAUUCUGUGAUUAUGUGAUUCUGUCUCUUGCUCUGCCACUGAGUAUUAGCGAGUUAAACCCGUGUGAAUCCUGUGCCAGCGUUCAAUAUCAAGAUGACAGCCGUGACAGGCAGGUGGCUCUCACAAGUGCUAGAUGUGACGUCUUUGGCCAUAUGUUCUCUUUUGAUGCAGCAGAUCACUGUCAUCUGCAUUCCCACCAUCCAGAAUGCCUGCCUUCUCCUUCUCCUACAGAAAUACGCUGUCGGCACCAUCUCCUUCCCUCCGCACACUAAUUUGGGAUCUUGGCAAUCUCUGCAAUAGCCUCCCCGCGGCACAGGGCAGGACACUAACAUGGGGACCUGCUGUUCGUCCUUGUGAAGUCCUUCUUUCCUCUUUCAUGUGGUUUCGGCACUGGGGCUCGAACAGGUGCUGGUCGGAUCCCGGCGUUCCACUGGGAACUCUGGAGCAGCAUCUUUGCUGCUGCUAUGGAGGGCAGGUAACCGUUUGACCGGUGAGCAGCCCAGCUGGGACGAACUGCUGUUUUUGGAACAGAUUGAAGAUCUGCAGAGAGUGAUAGCUGGGAAGAGAAGGCAGUAAAAAUCAUAUCAUCCCGACAGCUUCAGAGGGGCUGAAAAUGUCAGAGUCCAUUGAGAACUUGUAUAAAUUCUAUAUAUUCUAUCUCCAUUCUAUAAAUUAUAUUCCAAAAUGAUAUCCCUAAAUGAUAAAGCAUAAUCUGCGUUACUUGCAGUGAUCUGUGCUCUGGUUGAAAUUUACCUUAAGGACAAAAGGACCCAAUUAGAAACUGAUGCUAGUAAAGCCAAACCCUCAUUAACUGAUUCUUCACAUCAGUUCAUAUGUUAAUGUACAAAUUCUCCCCUGGGCAUAUGGCUGCAACUAAUCCCAGUCUCACUUGCUGUUUGAAGUCUCGCAGUGUAAAGGAUGAAGUUUGUUUUAACAUCCUGUUCAAUGAACAUUUUACUGAAGUAAAAUAAAAAAUAAGCAAAAAAAAUCCCCUUAGCAACACCAUGAUUGUUUAUUCCUGGAGCAAGAUCCCAAAUAGUCAAAAAACACAAGUGCUGCAGACCGGCAGCUUUGGGUUUUAUUGACUGAUAUGAAUUAUUUGGUAACAAUAGUGAACAAACGUUACCAAACCCAAACAUUUAUGUAGCAACUCAUUAAAAAGCAAUAUGUGGGUGGCCAAAGCUCUAAGGGACAGACAGGCCAUGAUUAUUAGAGCCAGGUUAUACUUUUAAAAUUAGAGUGACGUAUAAAAGCUGAGCUUGAAUAUGCAAACAUUAUACUGAGUUAUUUUCACUUUCAGGAGUAGUCCCGUGAAGUUCAACAGGAUUUCUUGUAUGAAUAAAUAAAAUUCAACAUAAGGUUUGCAGAAUAUAAAUAUACACUGACAGGACUGUAUCUUAGUGCUGAGGAGCUUCAUGUGGGCUGUACCCACACGGUACGUAAAUGUGAUCCAUACUGAAAACAUCAAUUCCCUGUCAAUACGUCAUAGGGAAAUAUAUUCCUGACUUCAGAUGCUGCAAUCUUAUCACCUUAGGAUAUAGGCAGUGAGGCAAGAAUGACUGAUCCUGUCAAGAAAACGUUAUUUAGUGAGUACUAAAAAUAAGUCAGUAAUUCAGAAACAGCUGUGAGGGUGGAACUGUCUCGAAUAGAAACAAGCAGACAGCCCGAAAGGCAAAACCGGCCCCUGAUUGCUGACAUCGCAGUCAUUUGCAAAGCUGUCAAAAACAUCCAUCAAACUGUGCGUUCCUAAUAAAGUAUCUGGGAAUUUUCACUUCUUGUUUUGCUGAGAAGCUGCAGCAGAGUCCUCGGUGGAAGUUCCGUGUAAAGGACGCUGAUGUGACAGCGGUGACACCUGCCAAGGGACUUGGAGGGACAAAAAUCAUGAUGGACAGCGUAGCUCCGUGUCCGAGUGGACAGAGGUACAAUAGAGUGGCCCAAAGCCGAUCUGGUUUCCAUGCCCAGCCCGGAGGAGUCACCCAACCCAUUGUAUUCUUCGCUUUUCUGUAGAAAAUACCAGGAGAGCAGCUGCUAAAGGCAACGCGAGCAUCACGGGGGUAUAGACAAGCCAUAAACCUUGAUCCAGCAAAGCGCUUCAAGAGAUGGUUAACACUGCAACUAGACGUAUCCUUCGAGUAAGGCAUGUCCCUGGGUAAAGAGAGAGCAGGAAUUCCCUCCCCGCUACAGAGACAUGCGCAUCCAUAAGAAAGAACGCGGCCCUUCAUUCAGAGACCUAAUUAACUUAAUUGAUUGUAAUUUACUACUUAUUCUAAUUUAGCUCAUUUAAUUUAUUCCAAAUGAAGUGUGAGCCUGGUCACAUUUUCUGCUACAGUUGCCAUGAUUACUAAUAAACUCCAAAACCUCACAGAUUUACUAGGAGGAGAACUGAUUCACCGCACGCAAACGUGGAGCCAGUGGAUGUAAUUCCAGGACUCAGGUCAUCAUCUUAAUUACGUGUUUCUUCUCUUUUUGUGUGCUGUUCAUCCGCCUCCGGAGCUUGGAGCUCCAUAAAAUAGCCACAUCUUCAUUAUUGGCUGUAAUUUACUUUAUUCUCACCUACUUUCUGCCCUUGAAUCAUUGAUCUAUUUAAGAGCUUCAUUUUCAUUUGACUUGAUGUUUGCUUGCUUGGGGCACUUUUGUCACAGUCUGUUCUUCUAAGGAUUUACUAAAAGAUUUUGAGCAUUAAGCCUCUUUAUUUGGAGUCAGUUAAAUACAAGUCUUUUCAAAGGUCUCCAUUUCAACAAGAUUUCCCAAUGCUACCUUAAUAAUAAAUGGAAAUUAAUUUUGGAUUAUUCCUAGCAAGUCAUAUAUUAUUUUCUAUGCAUCAGCGUACCGCAAUUUAACUUUUAGUGUCAUGUAGUCAUUAAUGGCCAGCCUAACAGCAUGUUUAUACAUCAGAGAAUAAGAAACAGAGCUCUUCUACUGAGAUUUGGGCAACUUUAGAGAAAUAAAAGCCUAUUUUUAAUGUAAGGGUCUAGGAAAGAGUGACACGACAACUACCAGAUUUUUCACACCAAGAGAAGCCAGUGCUACCAAAAUUGCACAGCACGAAGACACUGAGCUCUGUCUGGGCUUAUGUCACCAAGGUUAGGCUGUCCUAACUGCUUAGGAGGGACCGAGGGAUCAUGGUGGAGCUUGGAAACAGGCAGUGGCUUGGAGAUUGUCCCAGGGCUUUUUGUGGGGUGAGGAUUCAGUACCUGCCGACUCCACAUGUUCCCCUAGACAUCUGUGAGCAUUUUGUGUCGGCUACGUGCUUUCUGGUGACUGUUUGCUCGAGGAAUCAUCAUGUCCCUUUUGAAGGGACAGAAGGUGACACAUCCACACACACCGUUCAACCCUCUGCUGCUGCAAUUUAUAGCAAAACCUCCCACCGACGUUGCGCAGGAGGCUCUGGAUGUCAUGGUGGGAGUCAGACUAAGUGCCUGUGCCUUCCUGAUCGUGGGUUUCGGGUUAAGUAACUUUGAAGAACACCUAAUUUUUCUAAAAUCUGGGGAAAGAAAACCAAAUUCACCUUUUUUUACCCUGAACUAAGAUUUUUUCACUUCUAGACUGACAAUAAAAUAGCUUUAAAUUUGAAACAGGAAGCCGUGGUGGAAUGAAACCACGUAAGGCCGCUCUGAUCUAAGGGCUCCAGAGGAAGCCAUCAGGGAAUGGAAAAUGCAAUACACAUGCUGAAUAAUUAUAUUUUCCGUUCUUUAACACUGACUGAAUCUAUUUCCUCGCCAACAGGCUGCAUUUGGGGCAGGAGAAUGCCUCCCAGUCUCGGGACACAAUGCCUCUCUUUCAUGGAAACCUUCUUUAGCUCAACUCACGUGCAUUCCCUCGCUUUCAUCGCUUAGGAAACGCGCUUCCAGGUCUGGAAGAACCCCCGAUACACUUGUGAGCACGUCCUUCUUCCGACAGUUAUUCAUCACCGUAUCUACAAAAGCUUCGAGCUGGGGUGUUUUCUGGAAGCCUGACUUCCCCAGACUCCUUUCAUGGGAGGAUGCCCUAUUUUACCAGCCAGGAGCAUAAAGAAUCCUCAGUAUUAAGACCCUGGGGCUGCUCGCUCAGGCUCAGCCUGAUGAACGGAGAAUAAACCCCCAUCGAAUUGUCCCGAUCACAAGUUGCGAGCGCAGAAGAGCGGCUUUGAGGAGAGAAUUGAGAAUUGAGAGAGAGAAUUGAUCCGGUGCUUUGGGAAACAAUGGAAAUUGGCUGUCGGGAUACGCGACGGAGGAGCGGAUAACAAGGUCACUGCUUACAUACAGACAGCGCUGAGCCAAAAUGUUCCUGGGUGUCCCUGCUGCUGGGCUGCGGUUGAUAUAAUUCCAAGCGGGUGAUACUUGCCAGUGAUUUUGCUUUAUGGAGCUUAUUAGAUCCACGACUCGCUCUCUUUUUUCUCUCCGCUGCUUGCCGGCUGAGGUCCGGGGUCUCCCCUCCUCCUUUCUUUCUCCUGCAGAGUGGAACAGAACAGUAUUAACAAGCUGGUUUCCUGGGGCUGAGAAGAAGAAAAUCCCUUGUGAUGUUGCCACCCAAAAAGACACAGUUUGAGAUAACACAUUUCAUCUUGCACCUGGGGCAGACCAAGAGCGCACGAUUGGAUGCGGCGGCCCAGAGGAAGGUGGCAACUUGCUGGUCUUUAAGAUUCCUUGCUCAAAGGGGGUUGGAGAGAAGUUGAUGUACCAGCCGAAACGGAGGCACUUCAGCAUCCAGAGCUGGUCCAGUUCCGACAGGUACUUCCAGUACCAGCUCACCUGGGAAGCCCAGUAAGUUGAAAACCUUGGGAUUUCAAGCAUCCAAGACUGCAGCAAGAGACUUCUGCGCUGUGGAUGUAAUUCCCCUAUGUCCUUACUCUACUACAAUUAUAUUCAGCGCUUCUUAUGCUCCAUUUAAACCUUUCAAUAAACCAUUCAAGGUCUUCACGGCAUGCUCAGUGUCUAAGUGUUAGCUGAUCUCCAGCACAGGGUGAAAUACUCCAAGAAACACGGGCCCAGAGAAGAAAUCUCAGCUUGUUUGGGGUAACUUCCUGCACUUCUCCUCAAUAAGCUACAGUACUUGGAAUAACCCAUUUAUCAGCUUCCAGUGAGAAAAACAGCAUCAAUAAACUCCCUAAGACU